GACGUAGGGGGCAAGCGUUAUUCGGAAUUAUUGGGCGUAAAGCGCUCGUAGGCGGGACUGGAAGUCCGUGUUGAAAGACCUCGGCUCAACUGAGGGACCGGCUCGGAUACUCUAGUUCUUGAGGCAAUCAGAGGGUGAUGGAAUUCCCGGUGUAGCGGUGAAAUGCGUAGAUAUCGGGAAGAACACCGGUGGCGAAGGCGGUUCUCUGGGCCUGUACUGACGCUGAGGAGCGAAAGCGUGGGGAGCGAACAGG
rnacentral:rRNA from 1 species